rnacentral:lncRNA from 1 species
UCAUGUUAAUAUAAUAUAAUAAAACAUUAACUAAAUAAGAAUAAUGUUCUACCCAUGUGAAUAGAGUAGACUCAAAUUAACGACAAAAUACAAAAUGACUCUUGCAAAGCCCAUCUAAGUAAAGCCCAUAUAUGUUCAUCUUCUCUUUCGCCGUUGGCCAUUACACAUCUGCUCUUCUUCGAUUUUGCUUCAGUUUUGUUUCCAAAAGAAUAUUAAAGUAGAUGCAAAUCAAUUUUCUUUGUUUCCUUUGUUUGUAAUCCAUUGUUGGAUUGACAGUACGGUGAUUUCCGAUGAUUCCAAGCUCCGCCGCUUUUAUCACGAUGCCUUCGAUAGAGCAAGAAGCCGUCUUCGAUUUGAUUAACUAUCUAUGGAUGAUUUUGAUUUGUGCUUUGGAAAUUUCAUGAAGAGCAAAGAGAAGCUUCUUAUUGCUGGCAGAUGAGUUAUUCUCUCUCUUUCACUUAUACUAAAUAUUUAUAAUCACAGAUCUGAACAAACUAUGAAGAAAAUAUAUAUGUAAUUAUCUUCUUUUAUGUAAUUCAUGUCCUAUCUUUGAUAUAUUUGAUGUUGGGUUGGUGAAUCUACAACUGAUUUUAUUUUUGAUUAAAUUGAAUAUAUAAUUUUCUGAUCGUGGCUAAGAAUUCUCCCAGCACCGUUCAUGUAACACUUAAUAAAUAUAUAUAUAUAUGUGAAAACCUAAAAUAUUUCAUUUAGAUUCCCGCAAAUUUCUAACCUUAAGCGGGAGUGGUAUCAUAAUUCUUAGGUAUCUCAAGCGUCAGUUACUCGUCCAUAUAUAUAUUCACCUCAAAAUUAUUUUGAUAUAGCGUUUUUCAAGAGCAACAGAGAGGAUCACCAAGUUUCAGAAAUCUGAGUACAACUCUAAAUAAGGUAAUUCUAGUAUUUCAUCUCUUUAAUUUUCAGAUUCAUUGAUAUUUGAUUGUCGUUUUAUGAUUGAUCUCUUAAACAAAUCACACCUAGCUUAGUUUUCAUUUUCUAAUUUGUAAUUCAAAAGCAUGAUUAUCUCCUCUUUGUGUUGUUUGACUUGAUUGUUUGUGAAACUUUAAAUUCUCUGUGUACGACUUGGAAAAUUUAUCAUUUUCUUAGUUUAUAUCUUUGAAACUCAAAUUCACACCAUCGUUUGUUUUGUUUGUGUGUGUUGGAUGCUUUGUUAAACAUACAUAAUUAUAGAAAGAGUUAGUAAAUUAUUAGUCAAUUUGCAAAAUCUUGCAGAACUUAAUCUCUUGAAAAUCACAUCUCCCGAUAGUUAUAUAUAGAGGUAAAGAUGAGCCAUAUAUCUUAGCUUCUCAAGCAAAACUUGUAUACUAUGUAGAAGAUCCAUGUGAGAAAGGGUGGGAUAUUGCUGUGCAUGUCCAGCCUAGAGACUUGUUUGACAUGAGUGACUCUACUGUCUCUGAAUAAUUUUCAGGAGACUUGAAUGCUUAUAAUCCUUCUUGUUCAGGCUAUAAUUAGUCCUAGUUCGUUCAUUAUCAUUGACUUGAUUGUGUUAAACAUUUAGUAAAUAUUUACAUCAGUUAUUGUAGUCGUCGCAAUAUUUACAUCAUUUCUUAUAACUGACGUAUUGUAGCAUCAUUUGUUAUAAUUGAUGGAAAUAUUGCUAUCGGUUGCUAUAACCGAUGCAUUAAUUUGCAUCGCCACUUUUGAUAUCAAUUAUAUAAGUGAUGGUAACUCAUUUGUAUCAUUCGAUAACCGAUGUAAGUAUAGAAAAUAAGUGAUGCUAUCAACAUGUUUUUUUGUAGUCGACCCUCGUUAUCAUUUGUGCCUUCAUUCAUAAGUUCUUCUCUUCGCUGGUUGACAGAGUAUUGAGACUGGGAUUUCACAUUAUAUAAUCUGAAACAACGUUGCAUCACAUCCCAAAGUUGUGGCGGUUGCCGUUGAAAUGCGUGUACAAUCUUAC